rnacentral:misc_RNA from 1 species
GUGUCUUGGCAAUUCAAUAUAUGCGUAUAUAUAUCUGAUGAAUGGGACGGCACAGCAAAGCAUGUUAUGCUAGAAAUUUGUUUAUUUACAUUUAAAUUAUUUAUUUUUAUAAUUCAUAUUGUUUCUUAUCUAACAAAAUGAGGACUGGUUAGAUAGCUUGUGCGGUUUUUAGAAUAAGCUUCUUGGAAAACAUUGGAGACACUAGAGAGAGAGGGAGAAAGUAGCCCAAAAAAAAAAAAAA